GUCCGAGUGGUUGAAGGAGCCUGCCUCGAAAACAGGUUUGCAAUAACAUGCAACGGGGGUUCGAAUCCCUCACUCA
rnacentral:tRNA from 1 species